rnacentral:siRNA from 1 species
AGAUGCCAUGGACGAGUACAUGA